rnacentral:tRNA from 1 species
GGGCCGUUAGCUCAGCUGGUAGAGCGUUCGCAUGGCAUGCGAAAGGUCGUCGGUUCGAAUCCGAUACGGUCCA